UCUCGUAUUCGAAAAUUGAAACAAUCAAAUUGAAUCCCAAGUAGCAUGGAGCACGUGAAAUUCCGUGUGAAUCUGCGAGGACCACCUCGUAAGGCUAAAUAUUCCUGAAUGACCGAUAGUGAAACAGUACCGUGAGGGAAAGGUGAAAAGAACCCCGGGAGGGGAGUGAAAAGAACAUGAAACCGUAAACUUACAAGCAGUAGGAGGACGACUAAAACGUCUGACUGCGUGCCUGUUGAAGAAUGAGCCGGCG
rnacentral:rRNA from 1 species